AUUAAGCCAUUGUCUAGAGCAAGAC
rnacentral:piRNA from 1 species